CUCGCUGGAGUCGCCCGGCCUCGAGUCGAAUACUCAUUUCCUCUGUUCCUCACUUCCUCAGUGCCUAAACUCUCUCAAGCCCACCCCUACUCAGUCGAAUCCUCGCCGCCACCAAACGCCGCCAAUCAAUUCCGGCGACACAAAGGCGGGAACGCAGGAAGACUGGAACUCACAGCAGCUUUCCAUCUCUCUUUCAAUCGGUAAGGUUAGUCGAAGUGUCGAACUCCGUCUUUGAUUUUCGAUCUGAGAUUCUGAGCUAGUUGAUCUCCAAUCCGUCUUUGAUUUUCACCAAUUUGUGUGUAGCUAGUUGAUCUCAAGUCUUCAGUGACUCACUAAUCUUCACCAUGUCUUCUUAUUUCGUGUUUUUCGGCUUCAGAGAUUGAAGAAGAGUCGGUGUUCUUUUCUCCUCCAUAGCAGCAAGUAUAGAUUGAAGAAGACUCGGCUUCAGAGAUUGAAGAAUUCCAGAUUAGCUUGGAACUUGGAAGAGACUUACAGAUUUGGGCUAGACUUUGGUCAGUUGGUGUUUAUAGCUGUGAUCUUUCUGGAUAAGGUACUCUGCAUUUGUUUUGGCUGAGUAGUUUUCGACUUGAGAUUGCAUAAAAUGAAGAGGCAAAUGGAGAAAUCUACGUCAUGUGGUACAAGUUCUACCUCAGCCCUGAAGAAUAAAUC